UACGGAGGGAGCUAGCGUUGUUCGGAAUUACUGGGCGUAAAGCGCACGUAGGCGGCUUUGUAAGUUAGAGGUGAAAGCCCGGGGCUCAACUCCGGAACUGCCUUUAAAACUGCAUCGCUUGAAUCCAGGAGAGGUGAGUGGAAUUCCGAGUGUAGAGGUGAAAUUCGUAGAUAUUCGGAAGAACAUCAGUGGCGAAGGCGGCUCACUGGACUGGUAUUGACGCUGAGGUGCGAAAGCGUGGGGAGCAAACAGG
rnacentral:rRNA from 1 species